rnacentral:lncRNA from 1 species
ACAUAACAUAAUACACACUCUCUCUCUCUCUCUCUCUCUCUCUCUCUCUCUCUCCACACACAUUUUGAACUGUCCCUCUCCGACCGACCGACCCCAGAGCAAGUGGCAAAACAAUUGGUGGUUGGUAUCCGAGAUUCCAAGUUCGAAUCCUAGUUGAUUCACAUUUUCAGCUAAGUUUAUUUUUAAAUAAAAUAAAUGAAGUAG